rnacentral:lncRNA from 1 species
AUGAUUGUAGAUGUUAACAGGGAGGCCGUAUUCCAGGCGACAAAGGUUCGAACCCAUCUGAAACAAGAUGGAAGCUGGAUCAACAGAUCUAAAAAUGUUGAGGACACACAGUCAGAUGUAAAAGCAAGUAAACCAAUAAAGCAAGGAAAACCUAAAAAUGUUUCAUCACCUGAAAGCAGUUCGGUCUCUUCCUCCGUCAUGCCAUGUGCAGAGAGUACCACCACCUCCUCCAGCCUGGACUCGUCCACACCCCCUCAAAGCUCUUAUGUCGUGUCAGCCUUAAGGAAGUUUGAUGCACAUCCUGUCCUUGAGGACCCCAGGAGAGCACAUGUAGAGAAAGCAGUGGAGACAUCCAUAGCCAAAGCCACAGAGCAACCACUGAAGACACCAGCAGAUGCUUCUGUAAAGGACAUAGUGGAAAAACCAAUCGCUAUACCUGAAGACGAACCAUUGAAGACACAUGCAGAUGUUUCUGUAAAGGACAUAAUGGAGAAACCUACAAAUAAACCUGUAGAGGAACCAAUGAAGAUGCAUGCAGACGCUCCUAAAUUGGAUGUAGUGGAGAAACCUAUAGAGGAACCAUUGAAGACACAUGCAGACACUCCUAAAACAGACAUAGUGGAGAAACCUGUUAAAGAACCAUUGAAUACACAUGCAGACACUCCUAAAAUGUGCGUAGUGGAGAAUAUAAUUAAACCUGUAGAGGAACCAUUGAAGACACCUACAGAUGUUCCUGUAAAGAACAUAGUGGAGAAACCUGCAGAGAGACACACAGAGACUGUAGAGGGAACAAGGAAGACACCUGUAGAUGGAGCUUCAACAAAUCAAACACAAUCCAGUGGAGCGCUGCAGGAGAAAACAGUCAAAACCCUACAUGAGAACCCAGCAAAGCCUUCACUGACUACAGAGAAUAAAGAGGAUGAUACAGUUGAACAAGUCUCAAUAGCACAUGCACCUGUAGUAGAGGCUCUACUCGAACCCAGACAGGUAGAAAACCAGCCUACAAGUGAACAUGGGGAACUUUCACUAGUAUCUGCUCUGGAAACUCCAACUACAGAGUCAUCAACUAGAUCAACUACAGAACCAACCGAAGAACCCCGUGUGGCAGCCCUGGAAGAGAACCACAGACUGAACAGUCAAGCUCAAUUGAAGUAAGUCACUUAUAAGACACAUUUAUUUAGAUAUGAUGUCUGUGGACUUCUUUGAGUAGGUGUUAUGAUAUUUUGAACAUUAAAAUGUGUAAUUAAAGGACCCACAAAAUAUUAACACAGUAAGUAUAUAGUUUAUUAGCUAAAUUCAGUUAUGCAAACACACAGAAACAUCAACACUGUAAAAUUAAGUGUGACCUGUCUAAAUACCUUCAUUUAUUUUUACAAUAAAGUUCACAGAUAUAAUAUUUAACACAGUUCCGUUCUUAAUAAGUCAUGUGUGUAUCUGUGUAUGUCUCUCUUUGCAGUGUCAGAGGUAAAACCAUGUGUUCCUUCUGCAAGCUGCCCAUAGAUGGAAAUGUGAAAAUCUCCAUCAACAUUCCUGCCAUUUGCUGCCAUCCGGAUUGUUUAAAGGUUUACUUUUUAAAUCUUUUCUUCCUCUGUACUCAGGCUCAGAAGUCAGAGUCUUGUCUUAUAUUUCCACAUGGUAUCAAGGUUUUUGGUGAUCUGAUCACAGGUGGUCAGUGCUCAAUACAGGUGUUAGUAAGGUCAAAAACAUUUUGUGAUGGGAACAUUGAAACCUACAGAAGGCCAAGACAUUUGUUAUUAUUAAUUUUGUUUUCUUGUGCUUGCAGCUCAAAGGGAUAUUUCGUUUACUCGCCCUCAAGUGCUUCCAAACCUGCAUGAGUUUUCUUCUGCUGAGCACAAAAGAAGAUAUUUUGAAGAAUGUUGGCAACCAAACAGUUGAUGGCAGCCCACUGUUUCCACAGUAUGGAAAAAAUAGUAUGGAAGUCAAUGGCUAUCAUCAACUGUCUGGAUACCAACAUUCUUCAAAAUAUCAUCAUACUCAAAAAUCAUUAGAAUAGCAAGCAGUACUAGACAAAUGCUGUUGUUUUUCAGCAAAAUUUGUUUUUUCAAUAGUUUUGGUUUUUGUUCAGAGAGCUCCUUUUCAAAAAAGCUACCUGUUAGAAUAAAAAAAUUAAUCUUUUUUUUUUGUUUUUAGGAAUAGAAUGUACACAUGACUAAUAUGUCUUUAAGAAAAUAAUACAAAUACAAAUCAGUCACAGCAGUUUUUUUUUUUUUCUCAGAGAUGGUCUGUUGUAACCUAAACAUUUUACUUGUGUAUUUGACUUUUUCAAUGGUCUAAAAGAAAAUCUCAAGCGACGCAUGUUAAUAGCAGGUGGAAAAAAUGCCUAUGCUUGGAAGCAAGGCCCAAAAUUAACUUUUCGAUCACAUCUGCCAAUGCCUUUAUGUUUAAUGGCCUUGGAACUUUUUCUUUAUUUUCUUUGAGAAUUAAGAUGUGCCGCAGCAUGGUGAGUAAAGCUGUGUCUCUCUGUGUGUGUUUUAGUGUAAUGGUUGCAGCAGUCCUCUGGGCGAUCUCUCUUCAUCUAUGUACCACUAUGCUGGGAAAAUCCUCUGCGAGAAAUGCUUUGAUCGAAUCUUCCAGCUCUGAUGACUCAUCCUACUGCAACCUACUCCACUACAACUCAUCACCAUAACACCCAAGCACAUCUCAGUGUCUACCAGCAAGUUUCCUGUAAUUAAGCAACUAAAUUAAAAAAAAAAAAAAAAAUUAAAAAAAAAAAAAAAAAUUCAGUCUUUAUCAGUAGAGGAUCUGCUGUCUUAAGUUUAUUGCACAUAAAUUCAACAACUAUUUUUCAGUAAAUGGUCAUGCUGUGUGUGCAUGUCUUCCUAUAUACUAACAAAAUUCCCCAUGAGGUUUAAUAGGUUUUAAUUAUUUCUCUUUCUGAUCAAUAUAUUCCUUGUUUUCUUCUAACAAGUCACUGUUUCUAAUGUAAAAUAAGCUUAAAGAAGAAGAUUGCUUCCAGAAUGAAAAUUUCCUGAUAAUUUACUUAUCCCUAUGUCAUCCAAGAUGUUCACUUCUUUCUUUCAUCAGUCGAAAAUAAAUUAAGAUUUUUAAGUGAAAAAAUUCCAGGAUUUUUCUCCAUAUAGGCUAGUGGACUACAAUGGGGAUCAACGUGUUGAAGGUCCAAAUAGCAGUUGAAUCCCAUCUGAAGAAAAGUAUAUCUAGUAAAAUGAUCAGUGAAGAAAAAUAAAAAAUUUACAUACUUUUAACCACAAAUGCUCAUCUUGCACUAGCUCGACCUCACGCAUUACAUAAUCACGCAUGUGUGAUGUAGGCGGAAGUAGUGACGCAGUGUUUACAAAGCGAACGUGCAAAGAAAGUCUUUAACAACUUUAAUAAAAAAAGGUUACAAAAAACGGAUAGUUAGUAUGUAUUUUGAAGUUUAGAGGAGAAAUGAG